CCGCGGGCCUGCCGCCUGCGCCGCCCAGCCCUGCUCAGGUGUCACUGUGGCUGGCAGGCCGGGAUUCGGGCAGGAACACGGGCCGGGGUCGCGCCUGGGUGGAGGGGGGGCGGGGGGGGGCUCUACCAGCCACCCCAGCCCCACCUGGCUCCCUCCCCGGGACCCCGCACACACCCCCUCGCCGCUUGGGUGACCGUGCCUUGGCGGCUGGGUUAAGCCACAGUUUGCCUGACACCCAUCUGAUGCUACCGCUACCCAUACUCGCAGGGCCUUGAAGCCCUAGGAGCAUCCACACUAUGAGUCCCGCCAGUUGGAAGGAAAAGAAGACAAUCCAAGGCAGAGGCCAGAGGUGACAGUGGUCCUGAUGCUCCUUCCUGAUCUACCUGCCACAGAAUGAGUGAGGGUCUCCCUCUGCUAGAAGGUAUCCUCCGCACAGCCCCUCCCUCCCACCAGCCUCAGUUCAGCACCAAGGCCUGGCAAGGAGGCUGGAGUUUCUUAGGGAAUGAUGAAGAGGACUAAGUGAAUUUCCCACCCUGCAUCCUUCCUGUCUUCUUUCCAAAUUCCACCACUGUCACCUUUUUCCUAUUUUUUUGAAAAGGACCAUGAGCCUAGUAAAAGGCCUAAUACAAUAUUUAGGGAGCUAGGAGAUAGAGCCAGAGUGUUUGGGGGACAGGGAUUACUUUAAAGUUCAAACUUGCAAGUACGUUUUAGGGAUUGACUGAUGGUGCUGGAGUGUGACUUGAACGGUUUGGCCUGCAAGGAGUCGGAACUAACUGGAGAAAGCAGUUAAGCCUCUGUGGAGGCCUGCUAGCUAGCUGGAAAGGAGACCACGCAGGGUGUGUCCCUCUGGCUCCAAGAUUCUGCUGCCCAGUUCAGAACCCAGGAUAGUGCUGGGUAAUUAGGCUGACAGUACAUUCAGUAAAUAUGUGUUGUUCUUUUAUAUGCCAGACACUGUGGUAGGUCAUUUAUGUGUGUGGAGGGAGGAGGGGACAGUUUUUGCCCUCAAUAAAGCCUCGAGUCCAAUAGAACUGUCAUAAAAAGACGAGCUCUGAGAGGCCACUGUAUCAUCUCAGGAAGGGGUUGUUGAGAACAGCCUCCUAAGCAUGGGCGGAGCUAGUUGCUAAGGUAAAUUUGGGAAGUUGGUCCCUAGCCAGAUGGGACAAAGCCAGGCAGGGAUGCCAAGACCUGUGGGUGAUGAAGAGGGUCUGCUUGAGAAAAGACUAAGAAACCACAUCCAGGGAUUCUCACCUCUGAAACCAGGAGUGCUCUCUCCCACAUGUUGCAGUUUCCACCAUUUUUUAGACUCACUUUUCAGGUUUAAGAAAAAUACCUUUACACCAAGAUGAGAAGGCUUAAAAUGUCAGCACCAUAGAAAAGUUAUAUGAUACAGAUAGGAAAUAAGGACACACCUUUGAGGCACACCCUUCAGUCCUCUACAAAUCUAAGACUCCUCCUAGCUGAGGUAUGUGUGGGGAAAAAGAGGUUAUGAAUCAUAAUCACUUUACAACACAUUUAUCAUCAGGUACCUUUAAUGCAUGCUUAUACUCCCAUACUGCUGUAACACAGACACAUCUUAAACAAAACUGGACCCUACUCAGGAAAACUAGACAACAGCAUGUUAAUUGAGAACUAGUUACAUCCUCAUAGUGGGCCUGCUGAAAUAGCCAAAUCAUCCUUUUAAUGUAGAUUUUUUUUUUAGAUUAUAUUGCAUUUUUUUUAAAAAGCUUAUUAGACUGGCCAAGCUGACUAUGAUUAUAUUAUAUUUGUAUAUGAUUACCUUAUAUUUGGAAUCUACAUUUUUCAAGCUAUUACUGGAUGCUGACUUUAACAAUAUCCUCUGCUUAUAAAGAAACAAAUGAAGGGGGGGGGGGGAACUUGGCAAAAAAACAACUUGCUGUCUACUAAAAAAUUGUAUUUCCCAUUCUUUUGUAUAUUUUUCUCUGGGAAACAUGUGCCCAGGUAGGAAUUCUAUUUCCUGACCUGCACCUGCUUGCGUCUAAGUGGAUCCAUGUGUCUCAUUCUGGUCAAUGAACUGUGGGCUAAAGUGUGUCAUCACUUUCAAGCCAAAACAGCUAAGCAAGAGAUAUUCAUUGCCUAUGCAUUCCCAUCCUUUAGCUCAAGCAUGUCAAACUCAAAGACUAACACAGACCAAACAAAUGAGGCAUGCGGCCCACAGGCUGAGAGUUUGACAUGCUUGCUGAAUGAAGAAGUUUCUAGGGCCCAGGAGAAGGCAUAACACCACAUGGAAAGAGCUAACUUCUUCAAUUACCACAUAGAGGGAUGCAGCCCACCCACUAUGAAAAUCUGCAUCAGGCUUUACAUGAAGAAGAAAUAAGCAUUUAUUGUGUUGUUCCAUUGAAAUUUGGGGAUAUGCUUGCUAGGGUAGCUAGUACUAUCAAAUCAAUACACAAAGUUACUUUAAGAUGCUAGUCCAAAAGUAAAAUUCAUAUUUUUUUCUGUUAUAUAACAGAAUUACCAGACUAAAAAUAUUCUUCUUUUAAUACGUGAGCAUCAAACUUUGUCUUCUUGUAAAUGAAUUAUUCAUUUACCAGUUGUGUUUUGAACACCUGUUCUGUACAAGGUACUGUGCUAGAUGAUGCAUAAAUGUAUAGAUUAGGAACUCAAAGAUUUAGUCCUUCAUUCAAGGAUCUCAAAGUCUUGUUAUACAAGAAUUGUAUCAUAUUAUCUUUGCAAAAAAAUAGGUAUAAGGAGUAACUUCCUCUAUUGGAGAAAACAAACUAAUUUUACUAUUUACUUCACAACUAAUUAUGAAGAUAAACGUGUGGAAUAAAAUAAAAUAUUGAUGAUUCGGUGUCAUCUAUGUAGUCAAAUGCUCCAAAUCACAGCUUACAUCCUUGGGGGCAAAUAUUGUUCAUAUUAAAUGAACAAUAUUUUAGUUUGCUGUUAAGUGCUCAGUUGAUUGGGUGUUGUCCUGUGCACCGAAGAGAUGCUGGCUUGGGAGGGUGCAUUCCUGGGUUGUAGGCACAGUCCCCUGUGAAGUGCAUGUAGGAGGCAGUGAUGGAUGUUGCACUCUCACAUCAAUGUUUCUCUUCCCCUCUCUCAAAUCAAUAAAACAUCUUUUUUUAAAAAUAGAGGUAUAUUUUUUUUCAAGAAAAGAAUUGAAGUUAUUGUAUUUUAUAUCUUGUUUUGAGAAUAACCUGCUCUUGAAAUGUUGAACUUUCCUUUGGUACUUGGAUAUCUUUACACUCAUUUUGACAUUAAGAAUUUUGACUCUUCUCCUGGUUUUGACUCUCCUGAGGGAUGUAUUUUGUUCUGAGUAGUUGAUGGUAGACAGUAUGUCUGACCUGUUCUCACCUGAGCUGGUGGAGCCUUGUGCUGGAGAACCUGCAGACUAGACAGCCAAUCCUAGUGGAGCCAUGACUGUGUCUAAGACUUUGAUUUAUUAUCUUAGAGUUCAUUCCCCUGACGUUCACUUCUAACAUGUCAAGUUCUACCCUCUUCACUGUGGAGGCUCUAUGAAAUAUAUUAGUCAUCACAAAUUUUAUUAUUUGAGGUUUAAACUAAAAAGGUCUUUAUUUAUCUUUUGGAUUGCUCUUGAAAUAUUGUUGAGCCUUUUUUUUUUUUCUUUCAGAAGGCAAUUUAACUCAUUUAGAAAAGUUAUUUCUCAAAGAACAUAAAAACAUGUUAUACCCAAUGAAUUCAGGAAUAAAUUUUACUUUUUCCAUCAGGGACCAAACUAUAACUUAUGGAAUUAUAUGCUAAGUUUAAUAUGAAGGGGAUAUAUUUUACAUAAAACUUGGGUGAUCAUUAUUUAUUUGGAUUUAAUAAACAUAUUCAUCAUUGUUUUUAUAUUUGUAUCUGUAUCUCAUAUUUCAGUUCUGAAUUUGAAAAUAAAUAUUCUAUUGAAAAAGAA